CAAUCUUCUGGCUCACACUACAGAUUCCAACUUCGAGUUAGACUGUUGGCGACAGAUUGCGGGAAAUCGGUGGCAGAGGAGCAUCGGCAAGCAAGUUUCGGCUACGUAUGGAGCCGUGUUCUCUUCCACCAGUCUCGAAUGUUUCCUGAAAACGGCGGGGAGGCUGCACGGCGAGAGAGGUGCUCAUCGGGGAACGAACUGAAGGACUAAACACGCAAGCAGAUUUUCAAAAAAGUGAGUUGAGCAAAGACACGAUCUGCCACUUGGUGACACUAAAGUGGCGCGGAACAAAGGCUUCCGCCUUUACAAAGAUCACAAGAUCCAAGCGUUGUGAUAAGGAUCGACUCAAGCCGCAAAACAGAUCGAAAAUUAUCCCGUUUGAAAAUACGAACUUAUCUGAUAUUUGUACCCUAUUUUAAUCACUUCUUGUGCUCUUGGUCUCCCGAAAACGUGAUCGACGGUGUUUUAAUCUCACCCCGAAUGUGCAAAGCAUCCAUGUCCUCCCUCUCAGUGAGAAAUGUUUCACAUUCCAGAACAGCAAACUGCAAACCUCAUCCUAUGUUGUUGCUGGGUGCCGGCUCUUUCCCGCAAACGAAUGACGUGCGGCAGAGUCCCAAA